AUGGGACGAAUCACAGUAAACCCAAUUUGGAACAAGAUAUGGAAGUUAUCUUGCCCAGCAAAAGUCAAAAAAUUUAUAUGGCGUACACAGCAUGGUACACUUCCAUGCCGAGUUACGCUUGCAAAUAGACAUAUGAAGAUCUCGCCCAUUUGUCCUGCAUGCUCGGAGGGCCUAGAAGAUACAAAGCACAUGUUGUUCCUUUGUAGAAAAGCCAAGGAGGUUUGGAAAAGGCUUGGGUUGGAUGACAUUAUUGAUAAAGCAUGUGAGGUAGAUCGUGUUGGAGAAGCGGUGUUGGAGUAUUUACUACUUCUACAAGACCAAGAAUUGUUGAUUUUUGGCCAUCACAAUGUGCGCGAAAUGAUUAUUGUCUCAGCAUAUAUGGUGGGAAAGACGAAAAAUUGUGCAUAA
rnacentral:rRNA from 1 species